rnacentral:rRNA from 1 species
CCUACGGGAGGCAGCAGUGAGGAAUAUUGGUCAAUGGACGAGAGUCUGAACCAGCCAAGUAGCGUGAAGGAUGACUGCCCUAUGGGUUGUAAACUUCUUUUAUAUGGGAAUAAAACGUUCCACGUGUGGGAUUUUGUAUGUACCAUAUGAAUAAGGAUCGGCUAACUCCGUGCCAGCAGCCGCGGUACUACGGAGGAUCCGAGCGUUAUCCGGAUUUAUUGGGUUUAAAGGGAGCGUAGGUGGAUUGUUAAGUCAGUUGUGAAAGUUUGCGGCUCAACCGUAAAAUUGCAGUUGAAACUGGCAGUCUUGAGUACAGUAGAGGUGGGCGGAAUUCGUGGUGUAGCGGUGAAAUGCUUAGAUAUCACGAAGAACUCCGAUUGCGAAGGCAGUUCACUGGACUGCAACUGACACUGAGGCUCGAAAGUGUGGGUAUCAAACAGGAUUAGAUACCCGUGUAGUC